rnacentral:rRNA from 1 species
GAAUCUAGCUUCAGGUCUGGGACAACCACUGGAAACGGUGGCUAAUACCGGAUGUGCCGGAAGGUGAAAGGCUUGCUGCCUGAAGAUGAGCUCGCGUCUGAUUAGCUAGUUGGUGGGGUAAAAGCCUACCAAGGCGACGAUCAGUAGCUGGUCUGAGAGGAUGACCAGCCACACUGGGACUGAGACACGGCCCAGACUCCUACGGGAGGCAGCAGUGGGGAAUUUUCCGCAAUGGGCGAAAGCCUGACGGAGCAAUACCGCGUGAGGGAGGAAGGCUCUUGGGUUGUAAACCUCUUUUCUCAGGGAAGAACACAAUGACGGUACCUGAGGAAUCAGCAUCGGCUAACUCCGUGCCAGCAGCCGCGGUAAUACGGAGGAUGCAAGCGUUAUCCGGAAUGAUUGGGCGUAAAGCGUCCGCAGGUGGCUGUGUAAGUCUGCUGUCAAAGAGCGAAGCUCAACUUCGUAAAGGCAGUGGAAACUACACGGCUAGAGUGCGUUCGGGGCAGAGGGAAUUCCUGGUGUAGCGGUGAAAUGCGUAGAGAUCAGGAAGAACACCGGUGGCGAAGGCGCUCUGCUAGGCCGCAACUGACAUUGAGGGACGAAAGCUAGGGGAGCGA